GUGGUAGAACACCACCUUGCCAAGGUGGGGGUCGCGAGUUCGAACCUCGUCUUCCGCUCCA
rnacentral:tRNA from 1 species